rnacentral:misc_RNA from 1 species
UCGAAACAGCGGACUUCGGUCCUUGCUGCACCCUUGUCUUUUGCGCACCGUAUUGUUUCCUCGGCGGGCUUGCCUGCCGGUUGGACAUUACCAAAACCUUUUUGUAGUUGCAAUCAGCGUCAGAAAAACAAUAAUUAUUA